ACUUUCAACAACGGAUCUCUUGGUUCUGGCAUCGAUGAAGAACGCAGCGAAAUGCGAUAAGUAAUGUGAAUUGCAGAAUUCAGUGAAUCAUCGAAUCAUUGAACGCACAUUGCGCCCGCCAGUAUUCUGGCGGGCAUGCCUGUCCGAGCGUCAUUUCAACCC
rnacentral:rRNA from 1 species